rnacentral:snRNA from 1 species
GUGCUCACGUAGGCAGAAUACAUACUAAAGUUGGAGCAAUGCAGAGAAGAUUAGCAUGACCCCCAUACAAGAAUGACAAAGUUUUAAGAUGUUAAUAUAAGUGUAU